rfam:Parcubacteria bacterium C7867-005 C7867_00016, whole genome shotgun sequence.
UAUAUUUAGAGUUUGAUCCUAGCUCAGGAUGAACGCUGGCGGCGUGGAUAAGGCAUGCAAGUCAAACGGACACAUUUUGCGAUUACAUCAAUGUUUGUGUUAGUGGCAGACGAGGUAGUAAUACGUAGGAACCUCCCCUCGAGUCAGGAAUAACGAGUCGAAAGAUUCGCUAAUACCUGAUAGUAUCUCCGGAUUAAAGAAGUAAUUCGCUCGAGAAAGGGCCUGCGGGCUAUCAGCUAGUUGGUAGGGUAAUGGCCUACCAAGGCGAUGACGGCUAGGGGAGCUGAGAGGCUGACCCCCACCGAUGGGACUGAGACACGGCCCAUACACCUACGGGUGGCUGCAGUCGAGAAUCUUCCGCAAUGGACGAAAGUCUGACGGAGCGACGCCGCGUGAUGGAUGAAGUCCCUCUGGGACGUAAACAUCUUUUAUGAAGGAGAAAAUUUUGAUAGUACUUCAUGAAUAAGGGGUUGCUAAACUCGUGCCAGCAGCAGCGGUAAUACGAGUGCCCCAAGCGUUAUCCGGAAUCAUUGGGCGUAAAGGGUGUGUAGGUGGUCUUAUUAGUCUUCUGUUAAAGCCUCGGGCUUAACCCGAGACCUGCAGGGGAAACGGUAAGACUCGAGGGUGCGAGGGGUGAAUGGAACUCAUGGAGUAGGGGUGAAAUCCGUUGAUAUCAUGGGGAACACCAAAAGCGAAGGCAAUUCACUGGCGCAUUCCUGACACUGAAACACGAAAGCGUGGGUAGCGAACGGGAUUAGAUACCCCGGUAGUCCACGCCCUAAACGAUGUUCAUUAGCUUUGGGGGGUAUCGACCCCCUCCGAGGCGUAGCUAACGCGUUAAAUGAACCGCCUGGGUAGUACGACCGCAAGGUUAAAACUCAAAGGAAUAGACGGGGACUUGCACAAGCAGUGGAUUAUGCGGUUUAAUUCGAUGCCAAACGAAAAACCUUACCAAGGUUAGAAAUCUACGUGAAGGUUUCUGGAAACAGAUUCCGUCCGCAAGGACUAGUAGACAGGUGAUGCAUGGCCGUCGUCAGUUCGUGAUUUGAAUUGUUCCCUUAAGUGGGGUAACGAACGCAACCCUCGUUGCCAGUUACAAGUGUCUGGCGAGACUGCCCCCGUUUGUGUGCAUAAAUGAAAAUUUGUGUACAGAAACGGGGGAGGAAGGCGAGGAUGACGCCAGGUCAGCAUGUCCCUCUGAUACCUUGGGCCACACGCAUAAUACAAUCGCCGCUACAACAGGUCGCGACCCCGCAAGGGUGAGCUAAUCCUUAGAAAAGCGGCGCCAGUUCGGAUUGGGGGCUGCAACUCGACCCCAUGAAGCCGGAAUUGCUAGUAAUCGCGGGUCAGCUAUACCGCGGUGAAUACGUUCUCAAGUCUUGUACUCACCGCCCGUCAACUCAAGGGAGAUGGGAGUACCCGAAGUCCCGUUUAUGCGGGCCUACGGUAAGCUCAUCGACAGGGAGUAAGUCGUAACAAGGCACGGGUAGCGGAAGCUGCUCGUGGAGUAAUUCAAUU